rnacentral:lncRNA from 1 species
AACUUGCUCUUCCCAAGAUGAAGAAUUUUGGACGACUUGGUUACAUCGGAGGUGUUGUUUGCUCGUUAGGAGAGGUUUUCUAUAAUCUUCUUUUACUUUACUGGUUUCUUUUGUUAUUUGUGAUUUGGAUGAUGUUGACGGUGAUACUCCUAAAAAGAUAUCCUUUUCAUUACAGUGGUCCGGGACUCCUGUGUUAGGAGGAAGCCAAAGUCACACAUAAUCUGCAGGCUUUAAUUUGGUUAUCUCUUCGAAGACACCUAAUAAGAUACCCUCUUCAUUAGAGUGGCCAUAGGACUCCCCUGUAUUAGGUGGAAGCCAAAAUUGUAUUAUUUAAUAGGG